rnacentral:rRNA from 1 species
AUUGAACGCUGGCGGCAGGCCUAACACAUGCAAGUCGAGCGAGCGGCGGACGGGUGAGUAAUGUCUGGGAAACUGCCAGAUGGAGGGGGAUAACUACUGGAAACGGUAGCUAAUACCGCAUAAUAUCGGAUGUGCCCAUAGGGGAUUAGCUAGUAGGUGGGGUAAUGGCUCACCUAGGCGACGAUCCCUAGCUGGUCUGAGAGGAUGAUCAGCCACACUGGGACUGAGACACGGUCCAGACUCCUACGGGAGGCAGCAGUGGGGAAUAUUGCACAAUGGGCGAAAGCCUGAUGCAGCCAUGCCGCGUGUAUGAAGAAGGCCUUAGGGUUGUAAAGCACUUUCAGCGGGGAGGCGUUACCCGCAGAAGAAGCACCGGCUAACUCCGUGCCAGCCGCCGCGGUAAUUC